rnacentral:rRNA from 1 species
UACGAAGGGGGCUAGCGUUGUUCGGAAUUACUGGGCGUAAAGGCUCGUAGGCGGCCAACUAAGUCGGAUGUGAAAUCCCCAGGCUUAACCUGGGAACUGCAUCCGAUACUGGAUGGCUUGAAUCCGGGAGAGGGAUGCAGAAUUCCAGGUGUAGCGGUGAAAUGCGUAGAUAUCUGGAGGAAUACCGGUGGCGGAGGCGGCAUCCUGGACCGGCAUUGACGCUGAGGAGCGAAAGCUAGGGGAGCAAACGGG